UGCGUAGGCGGUUUGGUAAGUCAGAUGUGAAAUUCCUGGGCUCAACCGAGGAACUGCAUUUGAUACUGCCAGACUAGAGUACUGGAGAGGAGACUGGAAUUCACGGUGUAGCAGUGAAAUGCGUAGAUAUCGUGAGGAAGGCCAGUGGCGAAGGCGAGUCUCUGGACAGUAACUGACGCUGAGGCACGAAGGCUAGGGGAGCAAACG
rnacentral:rRNA from 1 species